AGGAGUUAAUCAGAAGGGGUACAGCUCUUCUGAUAAAAGAAACAACUUUAGUAGGUGAAACAGGAUCAUAUUAAUCAAGGACUAAGAUUUAAGUGGGCCUAAAAGCAGCCAUCUUUCAAGAAAGCGUUAAAGCUCCAACUAGCUCUCCGCCCUAUAUACCGAUAUUAAACUACCCCCCCCCCCUACUACCUACCAGGCUAUCUUAUGCCCCCAUAAGAAUAAUUAUGCUAAAAUGAGUAAUAAGAAGAAACCAUUUCUUCUCCUAGCAUACGUGUAAGUCAGAUCGGACCCCCCGCCGACUAUUACCCGACCCCAAUCCAAGAGGGACAUAAGUUAAAGAAACAAGAAAAUCGCUUAACCAAAAUCGUUAAUCUCACACAAGAAUGCACCAAGGAAAGACUAAAAGGGAAGGAAGGAACUCGGCAAACCCAAGCCUCGCCUGUUUACCAAAAACAUCGCCUCUUGAUCCAUUAAUAUAAGAGGUCUCGCCUGCCCAGUGACUAAGUGUUAAACGGCCGUGGUAUCUUAACCAUGCGAAGGUAGCGUAAUCACUUGUCUUUUAAAUGAAGACCUGUAUGAAUGGCAAAACGAGGGCUUAGCUGUCUCCCAUCCCCAGUCAAUGAAAUUGACCUCCCCGUGCAGAGGCGGGGAUAAAUAUAUAAGACGAGAAGACCCUGUGGAGCUUUAGACUUAAAAUAACCACGUCUAACAAACUCCUAUACGAGAGAGAACUCAGUGAGAACUAUUUAAAUGUCUUUGGUUGGGGUGACCGCGGGGCAAAACUAAGCCCCCAUGAAGAUUGGGGAAAUAUCCCUAACACCAAGAGUUCCCCCUCUAAGCAACAGAAAAUUUGACUUUAAAACGAUCCGGGCUAACCGAUUAACGAACUCAGUUACCCCAGGGAUAACAGCGCAAUCCCCUUCCAGAGUCCCUAUCGACAAGGGGGUUUACGACCUCGAUGUUGGAUCAGGACAUCCUAAUGGUGCAGCUGCUA
rnacentral:rRNA from 1 species